rnacentral:rRNA from 1 species
CAGUCCCGCGGUAAUACGGAGGGAGCUAGCGUUGUUCGGAAUUACUGGGCGUAAAGCGCACGUAGGCGGUUAUUCAAGUCAGAGGUGAAAGCCCGGGGCUCAACCCCGGAACUGCCUUUGAAACUAGAUGACUGGAAUCUUGGAGAGGUCAGUGGAAUUCCGAGUGUAGAGGUGAAAUUCGUAGAUAUUCGGAAGAACACCAGUGGCGAAGGCGACUGACUGGACAAGUAUUGACGCUGAGGUGCGAAAGCGUGGGGAGCGAACAGGAUUAGAUACCCGCGUAGUCCCUGUCUCUUAUACA